rnacentral:rRNA from 1 species
UAACGCGUGAGGAACCUGCCUCAAAGAGGGGGACAACAGUUGGAAACGACUGCUAAUACCGCAUAAGCCCACAGCUCGGCAUCGAGCAGAGGGAAAAGGAGUGAUCCGCUUUGAGAUGGCCUCGCGUCCGAUUAGCUAGUUGGUGAGGUAAUGGCCCACCAAGGCGACGAUCGGUAGCCGGACUGAGAGGUCGAACGGCCACAUUGGGACUGAGACACGGCCCAG